rnacentral:rRNA from 1 species
CCCUUAGAUGUUCUGGGCCGCACGCGCGCUACACUGAUGCAUUCAACGAGCCUAGCCUUGACCGAGAGGUCCGGGUAAUCUUUGAAACUGCAUCGUGAUGGGGCUAGAUUAUUGCAAUUAUUAAUCUUCAACGAGGAAUGCCUAGUAAGCGUGAUUCAUCAAAUCGCGUUGAUUACGUCCCUGCCCUUUGUACACACCGCCCGUCGCUCCUACCGAUUGAGUGUGUUGGUGAGGAGUUUGGAUUGGCCUCGGAAGGUGGUUCGCCACCGUCCGUAGCUGAGAAGUUCUCCAAACCGCCCCACUUAGGGGAAGGAGAAGUCGUAACA